CCUACGGGAGGCAGCAGUGAGGAAUAUUGGUCAAUGGGCGCGAGCCUGAACCAGCCAAGUCGCGUGAGGGAAGACGUUCCUAUGGAUUGUAAACCUCUUUUGUCGGGGAGCAAAAGACGCCACGCGUGGCGUUCCGAGAGUCCCCGAAGAAAAAGCAUCGGCUAACUCCGUGCCAGCAGCCGCGGUAAUACGGAGGAAGCAAGCGUUAUCGGGAUUUAUUGGGGUAAAGGGGGGCGCAGGCGGAAGACAAAGGCAGCGGGAAAAUUGAGGGGCCAAACCUCUUCGAGCCGUGGAAACUGGUUAUCUUGAGUGAGUGAGAAGUAUGCGGAAUGCGUGGUGUAGCGGUGAAAUGCAUAGAUAUCACGAAGAACUCCGAUUGCGAAGGCAGCAUACCGGCGCUCAACUGACGUUCAUGCACGAAAGUGUGGGUAUCGAACAGGAUUAGAUACCCCUGUAGUC
rnacentral:rRNA from 1 species